rnacentral:rRNA from 1 species
GAUAAACGCUGGCGGCGUGCAUGAGACAUGCAAGUCGAACGGACGAUCAGGGCUUGCUCUGAUCGUUAGUGGCGGACGGCUGAGUAACGCGUAGGUGACCUGCCCCGAAGUGGGGAAUAACUGCCCGAAAGGGUGGCUAAUACCGCAUGUGGUGGUGUGUUCGAUCACACCAGUAAAGCCGCAAGGCGCUUCGGGAGGGGCCUGCGUCCGAUUAGCUCGUUGGUGGAGUAACGGCUCACCAAGGCGACGAUCGGUAGGUGGUCUGAGAGGACGAUCACCCAGACUGGGACUGAGACACGGCCCAGACUCCUACGGGAGGCAGCAGUCGGGAAUUUUGCGCAAUGGACGAAAGUCUGACGCAGCAACGCCGCGUGAGGGAUGAAGGCCUUCGGGUUGUAAACCUCUUUUAUCAGGGAAGAUAAUGACGGU